rnacentral:rRNA from 1 species
UUUCGCAAUGCCCGAAAGGGUGACGAAGCGACGCCGCGUGUGGGAAGAAGGCCUUCGGGUUGUAAACCACUGUCGGGAGUUAGGAAAUGCAGGUGCGUCAAUAGCGCACUUGCUUGACUAAGGCUCCAGAGGAAGCCACGGCUAACUCUGUGCCAGCAGCCGCGGUAAUACAGAGGCGGCAAGCGUUGUUCGGAAUUAUUGGGCGUAAAGAGCACGUAGGCGGCCUUGCAAGUCAGUUGUGAAAGCCUUCCGCUUAACGGAAGAACGGCAUCUGAUACUACAGGGCUUGAGUACGGGAGGGGAGAGUGGAACUUCUGGUGGAGCGGUGAAAUGCGUAGAUAUCAGAAGGAACGCCGGCGGCGAAAGCGACUCUCUGGUCCGAAACUGACGCUGAGUGUGCGAAAGCUAGGGGAGCAAACGGGAUUAGAUACCCCGGUAGUCCUAGCCGUAAACGAUGGGCACUAAGUAGAGGGGUUUU